UCCUGGGGUCAAGCAGCCCCCCGAGGGGCUUAGAUGCGGGCCCUUUUUUGGAACAUCCGCGGCUUCAGCCAUGAUGGCCGACGCCGCCAACUCGUCGAGUACGUGCGAGAUGAACACGUUGACAUCAUUGCCAUCCAGGAAACCAUGUGCACUGAGUUCUCCCUCCAUGAGCUAGACUGCCUUAGUUCCCACCUCUUCGCCUGGCAUUGGCUCCCUUCUAGUGGGACCAUGGGCCAUUCUGGUGGCAUCCUUUUAGGGGUAAAGGAUGCCACCUUUGAGGUGGGUGGCAUGGACCGGGGCGAAUUCUUCGUUAGUAUGGAGAUCUUUGAGCGUGCUCUUAACUUCAAAUGGGAAGUGGUGAUUGUUUAUGGACCGGCGGACCACCACCGCUCCCUGACCUUCCUUGCGGAGCUGCAUCAAAAGAUCUCCACCUCCCUCCUCCCAGUAGUCGUGGGCGGAGACUUCAACCUCAUCCGCUCCCCGGAUGAGAAGAAUAAUGAUCGGAUUAACCUCCCCCGGAUGCAGUUGUUUAACGACUGGAUCGCGGAGCUCGGUCUCCGUGAACUAGAAUGGACGGGCGUCCGGUUCACCUGGACAAACCGCCAAGCUGACCUAAUGCUAUGUCUUGAGCUUACGUUGGUUUUCCCUGAAGAGGAAAGGGUGAUGCAGCAAUAG
rnacentral:rRNA from 1 species